AUACGUAGGGUGCAAGCGUUAAUCGGAAUUACUGGGCGUAAAGCGUGCGCAGGCGGUUUUGUGAGACAGUGGUGAAAUCCCCGGGCUCCACCUGGGAACUGCCAUUGUGACUGCAAGGCUGGAGUGCGGCAGAGGGGGGUGGAAUUCCGCGUGGAGCAGUGAAAUGCGUAGAUAUGCGGAGGAACACCGAUGGCGAAGGCAAUCCCCUGGGCCUGCACUGACGCUCAUGCACGAAAGCGUGGGGAGCAAACAGGAUUAGAUACCCUGGUAGUCCACGCCCUAAACGAUGUCAACUGGUUGUUGGGGAUUUAUUUUCUCAGUAACGAAGCUAACGCGUGAAGUUGACCGCCUGGGGAGUACGGCCGCAAGGUUAAAACUCAAAUGAAUUGGCGGGG
rnacentral:rRNA from 1 species